GAAAUGAGUAUGCGUUUUGGAGAUUCUCUUGUGGUUCCGUGAUGGUCCUCUAAAGAAGUAUGUGCAUUUAAAAGCUCCCAGUGUGUACUGAGAUUAAAGGUGUGCAAAUAGAAUCACUCAAAAAGAAUAUCUGGAUAUGUACGCAAGCUAAUGAGAGAAUGAAGCUAAUAAGCAAAGAGAAGGGAUGUUCCUAAGGGUGGUUGAACUUCUCUUUAACUCGAUGAUCUUGGUCAUCCGUUCAUUAGAUCGUCAAAGCCAAUGAUUCCAGUUACUUCAAAAACACCAACAACCCUUUGUAUACGUAGGCGUAUAUAUUUUUGUUUGUAUGUAUGUAGGUAGGUAGGUAGGUAUGUAUGGUUAUGAGUUUGUUUGUGCAUGGAAUUCGGUAUAUAAUCUGUUUUUGAUUCGCAUUUUCUAAUCUUUUCCUGUUCUGCUGCUACUGUUGCUAAAUACAGGAACCAUGAGCACUGAAUAACCAAGUAUAAUGAUACUUUUCUCUAAAUACAGGAACCAUGGGCACUGAAUAACCUAGUAUAAUGAUAUUUUUCUCAAGUUCAUAUGUUGAGAAGAUGUGACCAUUUCUUGGCAGGGCAACUGAUGUUGCAGCCAUGGUGGGAAAACCCUUCUCUUCUACCGUUCCGUCAAUUUAUCCGCACACUUCAUCAGAUCCUGUUAUACUGAGGCAAUGAUUGAAAUGGUGUGCAUUUAGAAGCUCUGCCAAACAGCUUUGGAAAACGUUUUGAAAGAAACAACCAAAUAUGACCUAGAGCCUUGUUCAAUUGAAGAUUAAGAUUUUGGGCCGGUUCUGAUUUUUAUCGAUUAGUGAUUUAUGGCCUGAUUUAUGGCCAAAGCACACGGUACAUAGUUACCUUAAAAGCCCUUGCAUUUACUCCAAUUGAAGAAUUGGGUGGUUCAGAAACUGAACUCAGAGAAUGAGACUAAUAUGAAGAGAGAAGGGAUGUUUCUUGGGGUGGUUGCCCUAGAAUGGUCUCACACACCAUUAUGAGUUGAGAUGAUUGCCUGUUGAAUCGUCUGACAAAAAUGUUUUGGAACAAAUGUAUCAGUCCUUGAGCGAUCCAUCAUGCACUUCUGUCUCAUCCAAAUAGCAAUUGUACAGCUGCAGCUAAGGCACAUGCUGUCGAGAAAAAUUUCUUAAUUUGGGGUUAGCUUUAGUUCUCCCUUUCUCUUUUAUUUUCGUUAGAAAUGAAUGCCUAUUGCCUAACUCAGUUUGGUUUGCAGGCAUCUGUUCAUUCUGGCAAUGACAACUAUAAACGUUCUUCCCCAACAGGGUGGACUGGUAAUGGAACCCAAGAUGCCUCUAGAGGUGUUGCGGUCUAAACUCAAGGAUGAAAGAGGGAGCUUGUGAAAGUUCUCCUAUGCCUUUUGAUUCAGAUAUGCAGUAGAAUUCAGCAUAGAGAAGACAAAAGGAAAAGCAAGCAAAGUGUAUAUGUGAUUUUAAUGAAGUCAGGAGAUGUGAGGUAAAGGUGAAAUAAGAAGGAAUGGAAAAAGAAACUCAAAAUGAGAAGUCUAAGGAGUUCCCGAAAGGAGGCCUUUCACAUCAGCUCGGCUACUCAAAGGAUUGGAAUCCAAACAGUUCUUACAAUCGACGGGAUAUGCUGUUUCGCGACAAACGUGACCAAUCAAGGAAUUAUCUUGUCCUGCAACCUCUGAAUCAAAUGAGGCUGGGCAUUGGCAAUUAGCUCUUGGAACUCUAUGGAGCACCGGAAGGAUUGGAUCAUCAUUCUGGUGACACAUUUGCCUGUGGAGAUUCAAGAUGCUUGUGACACAUUUACCUCUGAGGUUCCCCACGAGGAUGAUUUUGGUAGAUAUGCUCGAUUGAGUUGGUUAGAGAAAUUGAAUGGUAAUUCCAUUGAUUUAAUGACUAACAUGAUUUUGGCUCUUUUGUGUAAAUUUAUGCGACAUUUGGGAAGUGUGACCGGUUACAUGUUUCGCCCAGAUCAAUCUUAGCCAUGCUCAAGGUUUAAGGAAACUCUUACCUUUUUUUAAGAGGUAGUUGUAAGGCCAGCAUUUUACAUAUUUUUGUUGUUUGAAAGAUAAAUAUAUUAUCUUGAGC